GUAGGCAGCGAGCGUUGUUCGGAGUUACUGGGCGUAAAGGGUGUGUAGGCGGUCGUUUAAGUUUGGUGUGAAAUCUCCCGGCUCAACCGGGAGGGUGCGCCGAAUACUGAAUGACUUGGAGUGCGGGAGAGGUGAGUGGAAUUCCUGGUGUAGCGGUGAAAUGCGUAGAUAUCAGGAGGAACACCGGUGGUGUAGACGGCUCACUGGACCGUAACUGACGCUGAGACACGAAAGCGUGGGUAGCAAACAGGAUUAGAUACCCUGGUAGUCCACGCCCUAAACGAUGCAUAUUUGGUGUGGGCAGUUCAUUCUGUCCGUGCCGGAGCUAACGCGUUAAAUAUGCCGCCUGGGGAGUACAGUCGCAAGGCUG
rnacentral:rRNA from 1 species